rnacentral:misc_RNA from 1 species
AAAUUGAAGAUUUUGACACACACACACACACACACACACACACACAAUCUGACAAUCUGAAUUAAGUAGAUCUAGUUUGACGAUUCAAUGUGCUUCUUGACAUUGUAUUUUCGCUUAAGCUAGACAAAAAGAUUUGCUUAACUAAAUUUAGCUCUCAGAUUUCAUUGAAAGAAGCCGAGAAAAUUAACUUUAAAGUUGCCAAAAAUAAAUUUACUUUUUUUCCUGAGAAUCAGGAAAAAUAAAAUUUGAAAUUGUAUUUAAAUUGACAUUCUCAAAUUCUUAAAAGAUGGUUUAGAUCGUGGUUGAACUCUGACACCGAACUCUUUGAUUGUUCGCGCGUAACAAGCAAGACGAAGAUGCUGAUUGUGGGUAGUUCUAGAGAGCAUAUUGCGUGCCGGCUUUUGCGUUACCUUCGUAGAGACGCAGACUGCGUGAUUCUUGAUCGGCGACGCCACGAGAACUUCCGGCAUCAUCGCCAAAAUUGCGCCGUCUUCUUGGCAGAGUUUCUGGGCUUGUGACGCGCGUCAGUGUGAUUCCCGGUGCGGGAGCAGUGAUUGCAUUACUCACCAAUCGUCGGCCAAAUCGUGCAAAGUGACUCGCGAAUCGUUGCGGGAUCACCGUUGGAGGAAAAUCUUCGCGUUUAACAAUACAUUGUCAACCAUGUCAGGAAUCGGAAAUCGAGAUUUGUCGGAUUUCCGUGCUCAUCGUUUAAGGCAAAUCAGACUCGAAAUUAAAAUGCCGACCGAGUGCAUCGCCAACCCGUUGCAGCGGGAGCUGGCCGACGCGAUAAUACGGCUGCAGCCGCUCGACGAGAUUCGGAUCCUCCUCGCCUGCGGUGCCAAGCCGAACGAACCGGUCACCCAGGGCCUCAGGCCCUUGCACUACGCCGUCUGGCAGCGCUACACCGAGGCCGCCCAGCUGCUGCUGGUGCGCGGUGCCGACAUCGACGCCACCGACGAGUGCGGCUACUCGGCUCUGCACCUUGCCGCCGAACACGGCUAUCUGGACCUCGUGAAGCUGCUACUCAAAUAUGGCGCCAAGGUGGACCACAGGCAGGACACGGGAGAGCUCUUUCCCAGAACAAUGUUGUGCGACGAACCGCUGCGUCUGGCCCUGCGAAACCGUCACGUCGAUGUCGCGAGGACCUUGCUCGAAGCCGGCGCGAAUCCGAACAAGAGGUACUUCUUCGGCUCCGAGAUUAAUCUGGUGUCGCCUCUGGAUCUGGAAUGCAUGGAACUGUUGCUGGCCUUCGGCGCUCAGCCGAAUACGCGAGAUCGUGCCGGGUUGACGCCUCUCAUGAAGGCCGCCAGACUGCCACAGGGCAUAGCUUCGGUGCUUCUGCUGUUGAGUUACGGCGCGGAUGUGAAUGCGAUGGCGGACAUUAGACACGAUUACCGUACAGUGCUGCAUUACGCGAUUCUCGGCGGCGAUCCGGCAGUCAUCAAUCUACUUCUGAAGCAAGGUGCUCGGCUGGAUCUCGGUCCAGAUUAUCAGAAGCCGACGGCCUUGGAUCUGGCUAUACUCAAGGGAGACCCGUCGAUCGUUGAGAUGCUGCUCAAGGCAGGUGCGGACGUGAAUGCUACAUCGCCGAUCAUCGGCUCGCCAUUGCAUGUAGCGUGCGCGGACAACAUCCCGAACCGGCUGCAGAUCUUGUGCAUGCUGCUGGAACGCGGAGCCGAUCCGAAUCUAGUGAUACGUAGCGACGACGGACCGGCGUUGCGGCCGGUGCUCGCCGAGUACGUAGCUUCGAAUGAAAAUCCAUCGGUGGAAGUGGUGGCAUUGCUGCUCAAGUACGGCGCUCGCGUGGUGAUCAAGACGCAGUUCCGCGAUCCGCACGGCAUCCUCAACUCCCUGCAGAAUAUGGCCGACAAGCCGCGGCUGUUGCGCGCGCUGUUGGAGGCGGCAGAGAGCUUCGAUCCCUGCAUGAUACGGCGGUCCAGCAGUCUAACGGACGCGCAGAAAGCGCUGGUGAUGGAAGCGGCCAGGACCCCAUUGCCGUUGAUGCAUCAGGCGAGACUUAUAGUCCGCAGACUCUGCGGCACCAGGCUGCCGAAGAUCGUCAGGAAUUUGCAGUUGCCGCAGUCGUUGCAUCGCUACCUUCUCUACGACUUUUAUUAGCGGAAGAUUGGAGAAAAGGAAAAGUGUUUGUCGGAGAAUUUCCUUGGCCUUUCGAACACAUUGAUAAUCACUUUGCGAAAUUAAGCAACAAAAUUAUUCGCCGCUGUGCCUAUCAGCGCUGUGUUGCCGAUUGGACAAACACGCAUCAGAAAAGAAUGAUCGAGCACAAAGUGAUUUGAACUUUUGUACCUUUGUAUAUAUAACUAUAUAUAUGCUCAACGUACUGUAAGAAAUAAAGGGAAAUCGAAUUAGAA